rnacentral:lncRNA from 1 species
UCCAAAUUUAGGGGAUUUUGGGGCUUCAGAAUCCCCAUUUUUGGGGUCAAACUCUUCAGUUUUGGGGUCCAAAUUUUGGGGAUUUUGGGGCUUCAGAAACUCAAUUUUUGGGGGUCAAAAUUAUGGGAUUUUGGGUCUAAAGAAUCCCCAUUUCUGGGAUCCAAGUUUAUGGGAUUUCGGGGCUUCAGAAUCCCUAUUUUUGGGUCCAAAUUUAGGGGAUUUUGGGGCUUCAGAAUCCCCAAUUUUGGGGUCAAACUCUUCAGUUUUGGGGUCCAAAUUUAGGGGAUUUUGGGUCUACAGAACCUCAAUUUUGGGGGUCAAAAUUUGUAGGAUUUUGGGUCUUCAGAAUCCCCAUUUUUGGGGUCCAAAUUUAGGGGAUUUUGGGGCUUCAGAAUCCCCACUUUUGGGGUCAAACCCCUCAGUUUUUGGGUCCAAAUUUAGGGGAUUUUGGGGCUUCAGAAUCCCCAUUUUUGGGGUCAAUCUCUUCAGUUUUGGGGUCCAAAUUUAGGGGAUUUUGGGGCAUCAGAAUCCCCAUUUUUGGGGUCAAACUCUUCAGUUUUGGGGUCCAGAUUUAGGGGAUUUUGGGGUGUCAGAAUCCCCAUUUUUGGGGUCCAAAUUUAGGGGAUUUCGGGUCUUCAGAA